CCUACGGGGUGCAGCAGUGGGGAAUAUUGGACAAUGGGCGAAAGCCUGAUCCAGCCAUGCCGCGUGUGUGAAGAAGGCCUUCGGGUUGUAAAGCACUUUCAGUGGGGAAGAAAGCCUUGGGGCUAAUACCCUCGAGGAAGGACAUCACCCACAGAAGAAGCACCGGCUAACUCCGUGCCAGCAGCCGCGGUAAUACGGAGGGUGCGAGCGUUAAUCGGAAUUACGGGGCGUAAAGCGCGCGUAGGCGGUCUGAUAAGCCGGUUGUGAAAGCCCCGGGCUCAACCUGGGAACGGCAUCCGGAACUGUCAGGCUAGAGUGCAGGAGAGGAAGGUAGAAUUCCCGGUGUAGCGGUGAAAGGCGUAGAGAUCGGGAGGAAUACCAGUGGCGAAGGUGGCCUUCUGGACUGACACUGACGCUGAGGUGCGAAAGCGUGGGUAGCAAACAGGAUUAGAUACCGUGUAGUC
rnacentral:rRNA from 1 species